rnacentral:rRNA from 1 species
CUGGUUGAUCCUGCCAGUAGCAUAUGCUUGACUUGGAGAUUAAGCCAUGCAUGUCUAAGUAUAAGCGUACUUAUUGCGAAACUGCGAAUGGCUCAUUAAAACAGUUAUAGUUUAUUUGAUGAAUUCCUUACAUGGAUAACCAUGGGAAACUGUGGCUAAUACAUGCACAAAGCUGGACCUAGUUCAGUCGUAUUUAUUAGUUUCAGAUCAAUAGCUUCUGCUAUUUUGAGGAAUUAUAAUAACUUAACAGAGCACAAUAGUGCCGCAUCAUUCAAGUUUCUGCCCUAUCAGCUUACGAUGGUAGUGUAUUGGACUACCAUGGCAGUCACGGGUAACGGAGAAUUGGGGUUCGAUUCCGGAGAGGGAGCCUGAGAAACGGCUACCAUUUCUAAGGAAGGCAGCAGGCGCGUAAAUUACCCAAUCCUAAUUCAGGGAGGUAGUUAAUAGAAAUAACAUACUCGGGCUUUUAGCUUUGAGAGUGUAAUGAAUUUAGUCUAAAAACUUUUAUGAAACCUAUUGGAGGGCAAGUCUGGUGCCAGCAGCCGCGGUAAUUCCAGCUCCAAUAGCGUAUAUUAAUGUUGUUGCAGUUAAAAAGCUCGUAGUUGAAUUUAGGAGUGUAUGCUCCUGUCUGCUCUCUCUAGUGCAACCGAUGUCUGCAUUAGAGACCAGACUUUUACCGUGAGAAAACUAAAGUGCUCAGAGCAGGCUAACGCUUGAAUAUUAAAGCAUGGAAUAAUAAAAUAGGACUUUAUUCUAUUAUUGGUCAUAGGAUAGAGUAAUGAUUAACAGAAACAGUUGGGGGCAUUCGUAUUUAAUUGUCAGAGGUGAAAUUCUUGGAUUAAUUAAAGACGAACUAGUGCGAAAGCAUUUGCCAGGGAUGUUUUCAUUAAU